rnacentral:rRNA from 1 species
UCAAGCUAGAAAGAGCGCAAGGGGAAUGCCUUGGCAUCAGGAGCCGACGAAGGACGUGACAAGCUGCGAUAAGCUGCGGUGAGCUGCACAUAAGCUUUGACCCGCAGAUUUCCGAAUGGGGAAACCCGGCAGAGCAAUACUCUGUCAGCGUGCGUUGAAUCAAAUAGGCGUACGCGGGGAACCGCCUGAACUGAAACAUCUAAGUAGGGCGAGGAAGAGAAAUCAACCGAGAUUCCGCUAGUAGUGGCGAGCGAACGCGGAAGAGGGCAAACCGGAGGAUUUAUCCUCCGGGGUUGUGGACAGUUUUUUAGCAACUGGAACUAGGAGAACGGUAUGGGAAGGCCGGCCAUAGCGGGUGAUAGCCCCGUAUCCGAAAGGGAAGGUUGUGCGACUGGAUCCAGAGUACCGCCGGACACGUGAAACCCGGUGGGAAGCUGGGGGGACCACCCUCCAACCCUAAAUACUACCUGAUGACCGAUAGAGGAGCAGUACCGUGAGGGAAAGGUGAAAAGGACCCCGGGAGGGGAGUGAAAGAGAACCUGAAACCUUGUGCUUACAAGCACUCAAAGCCCGUUAAAGGGUGAUGAGGUACCUUUUGUAGAAUGGUCCGGCGAGUUAUUGUUACUGGCAAGCUUAAGGCAUUCAGUGCCGGAGGCGAAGGGAGACCGAGUCUGAAUAGGGCGUAUGAAGUCAGUGGCAAUAGACCCGAAACCGGGUGACCUAUCCAUGGGCAGGUUGAAGUGGGGGUAAAACCCCAUGGAGGACCGAACGCACGCCCGUUGCAAUGGUCGGCGAUGACCUGUGGAUAGCGGUGAAAUUCCAAUCGAACUCGGAGAUAGCUGGUUCUCCCCGAAAUAGCUUUAGGGCUAGCGUUGGCUUAGAUUACCGGAGGUAAAGCACUGAAUGGGCUAGGGGCCGAUAAGGUUACUGAACCCUAUCAAACUCUGAAUGCCGGAUAAUUGAUGGCCAGCAGUCAGUCUACGUGAGAUAAGUCUCGUGGACAAAAGGGAAACAGCCCAGACCCACAGCUAAGGUCCCAAAGAUACGCUAAGUGGAAAACGAUGUGGAGUUGCGAAAACAACCAGGAUGUUGGCUUAGAAGCAGCCACUCAUUAAAAGAGUGCGUAAUAGCUCACUGGUCGAGUGACUCUGCGCGGAAAAUAUAACGGGGCUAAGCGUAACACCGAAGCUUGGGCUGCACAGCAAUGUGCGGGGUAGGGGAGCGUCGAAUAUGGGGUGAAGUCGCAGCGGAAGCAGCGGUGGACUGUAUUCGAGUGAGAAUGCCGGAAUGAGUAGCGAGAAUUAUGUGGGAAUCAUAAUGGCCGAAAAUCUAAGGUUUCCUGGGGAAGGUUCGUCCGCCCAGGGUAAGCCGGGAGCUAAGGCGAGGCCGAAAGGCGUAGUCGAUGCACAUACGGUUGAAAUUCCGUAGCCACCGAACCUUAAGUACACUGACACAUGGAGAUAGCGGGACCCGGGCGUUGGUUGACCCGGGCGUAAGGGACCGAACUAUAGUAGGGAAGUCCGCGAUGCUCUGUGGCGAGAAAAGGUGUAUGGUAUGCUAAGGUGCCCGUACCGCAAACCGACACAGGUAGAUGAGGAGAGAAUCCUAAGGCCAACGGGAGAAGGGUUGUUAAGGAACUCGGCAAAAUGACCCCGUAACUUCGGGAUAAGGGGAGCCUCCUACGGGAGGCCGCAGCGAAUAGGCCCAAGCGACUGUUUACCAAAAACACAGGUCUCUGCUAAAUCGAAAGAUGACGUAUAGGGGCUGACGCCUGCCCGGUGCUGGAAGGUUAAGAGGAGAUGUUAGCCGCAAGGCGAAGCAUUGAAUCGAAGCCCCAGUAAACGGCGGCCGUAACUAUAACGGUCCUAAGGUAGCGAAAUUCCUUGUCAGGUAAGUUCUGACCCG